rnacentral:tRNA from 1 species
AUAAUAAAAUUUUGAUUUCGACUCAAAUAAAUUAAUAAAUUUAAAUUAUU